rnacentral:rRNA from 1 species
CGUGUAGGCGGGUCUUUAAGUCAGGGGUGAAAUGCCAAGGCUCAACCUUGGAACUGCCUUUGAUACUGGAGAUCUUGAGUCCGGGAGAGGUGAGUGGAACUGCGAGUGUAGAGGUGAAAUUCGUAGAUAUUCGCAAGAACACCAGUGGCGAAGGCGGCUCACUGGCCCGGAACUGACGCUGAGACGCGAAAGCGUGGGGAGCAAACAGGAUUAGAUACCCUGGUAGUCCACGCUGUAAACGAUGGAUGCUAGCCGUUGGGGAGCUUGCUCCUCAGUGGCGCCGCUAACGCAUUAAGCAUCCCGCCUGGGGAGUACGGUCGCAAGAUUAAA